rnacentral:rRNA from 1 species
CGUUCCCGGGCCUUGUACACACCGCCCGUCAAGUCAUGAAAGUCGGUAACACCCGGAAGCCGGUGGCCUAACCCUUGUGGAGGGAGCCGUCGAAGGUGGGAUCGGUGAUUAGGACU